rnacentral:rRNA from 1 species
AGAGUUUGAUCCUGGCUCAGAUUGAACGCUGGCGGCAUGCCUAACACAUGGAAGUCGAACGGUAACAGGCCCUUCGGGGUGCUGACGAGUGGCGAACGGGUGAGUAAUACGUAGGAAUCUACCCAGUAGUGGGGGAUAACCCGGGGAAACUCGGGCUAAUACCGCAUACGCUCUACGGAGGAAAGCGGGGGACCGAAAGGCCUCGCGCUAUUGGAUGAGCCUACGUCGGAUUAGCUAGUUGGUGAGGUAACGGCUCACCAAGGCGACGAUCCGUAGCUGGUCUGAGAGGACGAUCAGCCACACUGGGACUGAGACACGGCCCAGACUCCUACGGGAGGCAGCAGUGGGGAAUAUUGGACAAUGGGCGAAAGCCUGAUCCAGCAAUGCCGCGUGUGUGAAGAAGGCCUGCGGGUUGUAAAGCACUUUCAGUGGGGAAGAAAAGCCUGGGGCUAAUACCUCCGGGCCUUGACGUUACCCACAGAAGAAGCACCGGCCAACUCCGUGCCAGC